AAUCAGAACUCAGAAACAGCUCUGAAACAGCAAUGUUAAUUCAUUAUAGCUUCAUGUUCAUACAGAUAAGCUGGGCCUGCGCGAAACCCAUUUAAACAUUGGUGGAAGAAAAUCUGACUACGAUGCUUUGGUUCUUAGAAGAAUCAACCAAUGCAGCCAUUGCAAGAGCAAAGCAGAGCAAUGCUAUUUUCGUUGUGUAUAUUACAGGUACUAAUGACGAAGACACAAGUCGAAUGGAUGAAACAUGGGAAGAUGGAGAGGUUCAACAGAUCUGCAAUGAGGCAGGUAUAGUUGCCAUCAGGCUUAAUGCAUCCAGUACUGAAUGCAAUCAAUUCAGCAGACUUUAUCCUGUUGUUUGUGUUCCAUCAGUAGCAUUCAUUGAUGGUGGAAAUGGGGUCUACCUAGAGGCAAUUGCAGGUGCUGUAUCCCCACACGAACUAAGAGAGAAGAUUAAAGAUGUGAUUGUGAAAAAGAAUAGGGCCAACCAAGCCUCAGUUGUAGCAACAACAACAGAAGCAAUGUAUUCGCAACCGUCAACUUCGCAAGCAGCUGCAGAUCCGUUAAUGACUGCAGCUCCCCAGGCAAGUGCAUCUCCUGGAAGUGCAACUUCCCAGGCAAGUGCAGCUCCAAAAAUCACUCCAGACCAACCUGACAAAGUUCAAGCAUCAUCUUUUGCAUCUGCAAUAGUUAAUACAAGUAAUGAAACCCAAGAGGAGAGGUCACAGAGACAUCGGCAGAAGAUGGUUGCGUUGCGAGAGAAGAUGGAUAAGGAAAGGAAGAAAAAGGAUAGUUCCAAUUCCAACCAAGCCUCAGCUGUAGAGAUGGAUACUCAAACAUCAACUCUGCAAGUCGCAAAUCCGUAUUCGGUUGCAUCUGUCCAGAUUAACUGCAAGAAAGAAAUAGAAAGAAGGGAAGUUGGAAAAGCAAUCCAAGAACAGAUGAAGACGAACCAGGAGAGGGAAACCAGAGCCACUGUGGAACACAUGAAGGAAGAUCAGCAGUGGAGGGAAUUGGUCCGGCAACAGCUGGAGUGGGAUAAGCUAGAGAAGAAAGCGAGGUUUGAGGCUGAGAAGAGAGAGAGGGAUCAGAAACGGAAAAGCAGGAAUAUCCAGAAACAAGAACAACUAGAUGAAGAAGAAUUAGAAAGAAAGAGAAGACGAAUGGAGAGUGCUAGAAUACAGUUCCGUCUGCCAGAUGGUUCAACUUUUAAGAAUGAAUUCAAGGCAACAGCAAAAAUGUCAGAAGUACAUGAGUUUAUUAGACAGAAAAUUAUGUCUCAUGACUUAAGAAGUUCAUUUAUGAUGUCAACAACAUUUCCUAGGAGAAACUACGAUUCUGAUGACAUGGACCGUACCCUCACAGAGCUCAAUUUGGUUCCCAGUCCUUGCAUUAUUGUCCUUCCAAGAAAUAAUAGGUCCAAUUCCAACCAAACCUCAGCAGUAGCAACAACAAAAGCAAUGGAUGCUCAAACAUCAACCCUGCAAGCAGCCACGGAUUCGCUCUUUAAUACAAGUGAUGAGACCAUAGAGAAGAAGGCAUAUAGAUGGCAGAAGAUGGUUGCAUUUCAAGAGUUGGGAGAAGAAAAUGAGGAGCAUCUGUAGAAGUUAAUACAAGUAAUGAGACCAUAGAGGAGGGGGCAUUGCAAGAGAACAAAGAAAAGAAAAAGGAGGAGGGGUCCACUGCUGUUACCCAAUCAGAUAGUCCAGUCCUGAUGCUCCUGUCGCCUUUCCUUGCCCUCUGG
rnacentral:misc_RNA from 1 species